AUCAGAACGAUGAUGUCAAUUGAAAUACCGCGUUAUCGAUAUUAAAAUCUCUGAAAUAGGAGUUGCAGACAGUAAACAAAAAACGCUAAGAUCUGCA